AUGGUCUGUCAUGUUGUUGCUGUGGAUCUCCCUUCAUGUAACCUUGUGGAAGGACGAAGCUGGGCCAAACCCCGGACGACGCUGGGCCAAACCCCGGACGACGCUGGGCCAAACCCCGGACGACGCUGGGCCAAACCCCGGACGACGCUGGGCCAAACCCCGGACGACGCUGGGCCAAACCCCGGACGACGCUGGGCCAAUUCCCAGUCUCUAUGGGGGUGCCACAGGGUUCAAUUCUUGGGACCGACUCUCUUCUCUGUAUACAUCAAUGAGGUCGCUCUUGCUGCUGGUGAGUCCCUGAUCCACCUCUACGCAGACGACACCAUUCUGUAUACUUCCGGCCCUUCUUUGGACACUGUGUUAACAACCCUCCAGGCAAGCUUCAAUGCCAUACAACUCUCCUUCCGUGGCCUCCAAUUGCUCUUAAAUACAAGUAAAACUAAAUGCAUGCUCUUCAACCGAUCGCUACCUGCACCUACCCGCCUGUCCAACAUCACUACUCUGGACGGCUCUGACUUAGAAUACGUGGACAACUACAAAUACUUAGGUGUCUGGUUAGACUGUAAACUCUCCUUCCAGACCCAUAUCAAACAUCUCCAAUCCAAAGUUAAAUCUAGAAUUGGCUUCCUAUUUCGCAACAAAGCAUCCUUCACUCAUGCUGCCAAACAUACCCUUGUAAAACUGACCAUCCUACCAAUCCUCGACUUUGGCGAUGUCAUUUACAAAAUAGCCUCCAAUACCCUACUCAACAAAUUGGAUGCAGUCUAUCACAGUGCAAUCCGUUUUAUCACCAAAGCCCCAUAUACUACCCACCAUUGCGACCUGUAUGCUCUCGUUGGCUGGCCCUCGCUUCAUACUCGUCGCCAAACCCACUGGCUCCAUGUCAUCUACAAGACCCUGCUAGGUAAAGUCCCCCCUUAUCUCAGCUCGCUGGUCACCAUAGCAUCUCCCACCUGUAGCACACGCUCCAGCAGGUAUAUCUCUCUAGUCACCCCCAAAACCAAUUCUUUCUUUGGCCGCCUCUCCUUCCAGUUCUCUGCUGCCAAUGACUGGAACGAACUACAAAAAUCUCUGAAACUGGAAACACUUAUCUCCCUCACUAGCUUUAAGCACCAACUGUCAGAGCAGCUCACAGAUUACUGCACCUGUACAUAG
rnacentral:lncRNA from 1 species